UAUACUUUUAGUAAUCCAUCUGGUGACUCUAACUCUGUGUCGGUUUGUGACUUCACAUUUGAUGGUAAAGGUACGCUAUUUAAUCAAUUCUAAUAUGUUGUUUUUGGAAUCGAUAUUAUUUUUAUAAAUCUUUGCAAUAUCUAAAUUUCAACUACGAUGCACGUGGAACUUAUGGAGUUUGAUCUCAUACAAGGCAAUAAUGAUUUGCUUUUAUUUUGGGAGUUGGAUCAUCGUUCUCUGCACUGGUUGGUGAUUAUGACAUAGCAAAGAAGGAAGACAACAUUGGGUUGAGAACGAUAGGAAACAUCCUGGUUGUGAUGAACAAAGAUCAGCAGUCUCUGAAUACUUCCGUGUUUAUAAAGGGAAAUGAGAACAGUGCCAAAAAUGUCGAUCUGAUGGGUCAUUCUCAUCAACCGUUUCUCGCGAGAUCAUGUGUGGACUUUUUAAAGAAUUUCUUUGAGGAUGAGUUACAUGCAACUCAAAGUAUAUUCUCAAGCAAAGAAAAAUAUGAGAAGAUACUUGGCAUGAUAACAGAUGAAGAGCUGAGAGGGGAGUGGGAGAAUUCUGCGAGAUCAUCUCCAUCAUAAGAAGCCACCAGCCUUUUAAGGUGGGAGCAGCUUAAAACGCUUCAAUCAAAGAACAACAAGGCUCUAUCACUGCGGACAUGCGUAGAAGAAAUUGUCUUCAACUUUAUAUAUCCUCGAAUUGAUUUGGAGAUUAGUUCUACUCUAUGCUACAAUUCCUUUUCUUAAACCCACGGUGCUAUUAUGGUCUCCAAAAAAAUGAACCAUUUGCUUAAGGCACCCUUCUGUGUCCAUCCAAACACAGGUCGUGUCUGUGUUCCUAUUGAUCCGAAUAACUGCGAUGAGUUUGAUCCAUUAUUGGAAGUUCCAACACUU